AUUGCUUUGGAUCUUUUUGAUAUAUUCACACCAAACAUUCUCCUAGAAAGUGUGCAAUGCAAAAGAUUUUGUAGUGGAAAGAGAUAAGCACAGCAACAAUUUAUUUACUAGAUAUUGUAUCUGUAUACAUGAAGGGAAGAAUUGCUUAAGGUUUAACACAAAGAAUACAAAUGAUAACGUUAUUUUAUGGAGAAGGAUUUAUGCACUAUAAUAAAGAGUAUAGGAAUAUUUAAAGUGAAUUUUAGGUCAUUAUAGGUUAAAAAGAAAACAAAUUUCUUCAAUUAGGGUACUGUAGCCUGAACUGUUAAUUUCACAG